CGGAGGGUGCAAGCAUUGAUCGGAAUUACUGGGCGUAAAGGGCGCGUAGGCGGCUUUGAAAGUCAGAUGUGAAAUUCUGGGGCUCAACCCCAGAGCUGCAUUUGAAACUCCAGAGCUUAGAGGAUGGUGAGGGAAAACGGAAUUCCACGUGUAGCGGUGAAAUGCGUAGAUAUGUGGAAGAACACCAGUGGUGAAGACGGUUUUCUGUGCCAAACCAGACGCUGAAGCGCGAAAGCUAGGGGAGCAAACAGGAUUAGAUACCCUGGUAGUCCUAGCCAUAAACGAUGCAUACUAGAUGUAGGAAGGCUCAACCCUUUCUGUAUCGGAGCUAACGCGUUAAGUAUGCCGCCUGGGGAGUACGCUCGCAAGGGUG
rnacentral:rRNA from 1 species